GGCUACACAUAAAUGGAAUUAAUAAUAUUGGGCACAAAGGUAAUUGGCAAACCAUUUUUGUAGAAAAUGGGGAAAGAAUUCUAAAAAUUGCUAAAGAAGGAAAUAGAUCAGAGGGGAUAAAAUGUAAGGGAUUACAUAACAACCAAUAACUCCUGUAAUAGUUCUGGUGGUAUUUUGAAUUUAAUGCCCUUCAAUUUAUUGGUAAUUUGCAAUUGUUGUGUUAUAACCGUCCUUUUUAAGCCAUGCCAGUAAUUAUAUGUAGAAGAAACCAAAAAACAAAAAUAAGAAAAAGAAAGGAACCUAGAUACAUGGUUUCCUACGAGCCAUCAUUUUUACAAACCUAGAUGCAUAGUUUCCUACAAGCCUUCAUUUUUACUUUUAUUCUCCAUAUACCCUUCAGAGCCUCCUUAUAUGAGCCUCAUGCAUAGAUUAUAGUGGAAGUGCUUGACAGUGACAUUGAGAUUAGAUUACAUAUGUAUCUGUAAAAUGAAAGUGGGUGACAAUGAGAUUUAGAUUAGAGCUAAAUUUG
rnacentral:misc_RNA from 1 species